AGAGUUUGAUCAUGGCUCAGAUUGAACGCUGGCGGCAGGCUUAACACAUGCAAGUCGAACGAUGACUCUCUAGCUUGCUAGAGAAGAUUAGUGGCGGACGGGUGAGUAACAUUUAGGAAUCUACCUAGUAGUGGGGGAUAGCUCGGGGAAACUCGAAUUAAUACCGCAUACGACCUACGGGUGAAAGGGGGCGCAAGCUCUUGCUAUUAGAUGAGCCUAAAUCAGAUUAGCUAGUUGGUGGGGUAAAGGCCCACCAAGGCGACGAUCUGUAACUGGUCUGAGAGGAUGAUCAGUCACACCGGAACUGAGACACGGUCCGGACUCCUACGGGAGGCAGC
rnacentral:rRNA from 1 species